rnacentral:rRNA from 1 species
GACGGAGGAUGCAAGCGUUAUCCGGAUUGAUUGGGCGUAAAGCGUCUGUAGGUGGCUUGGUAAGUCUGCUGUCAAAGCCCCGGGCUUAACCCUGGACAGGCAGUGGAAACUACCGAGCUUGAGUACGGUAGGGGCAGAGGGAAUUCCCGGUGAAGCGGUGAAAUGCGUAGAUAUCGGGAAGAACGCCAACAGCGAAGGCACUCUGCUGGGCCGACACUGACACUCAGAGACGAAAGCUAGGGGAGCGAAUGGG